UGCUGGUCCCCCCGCGACGAUAAGCUGUGAACCCCGUCAGGCCCGGAAGGGAGCAGCGGCAACAGUGGAUUCGGGCGCCGGGGUGUGGCUGGUACAG
rnacentral:SRP_RNA from 1 species